UGUAGGGGUAAAAUCCGUAGAGAUCAGAAGGAAUACCGAUUGCGAAGGCGAUCUACUGGAACAUUACUGACGCUGAGACGCGAAAGCGUGGGGAGCAAACAGGAUUAGAUACCCUGGUAGUCCACGCCCUAAACGAUGUACACUAGUUGUUGCCAUGCUAGACAUGGCAGUAAUGCAGUUAACACAUUAAGUGUACCGCCUGGGGAGUACGGUCGCAAGAUUAAAACUCAAAGGAAUAGACGGGGACCCGCACAAGCGGUGGAGCAUGCGGUUUAAUUCGACGAUACGCGAAGAACCUUACCUGGACUUGACAUUUACAGAACUUUCAAGAGAUUGAUUGGUGUCUGCUUGCAGAAACUGUAGGACAGGUGCUGCACGGCUGUCGUCAGCUCGUGUCGUGAGAUGUUGGGUUAAGUCCCGCAACGAGCGCAACCCACGUGUCUAGUUGCUAACAGUUCGGCUGAGAACUCUAGACAGACUGCCUGGGCAACCAGGAGGAAGGUGUGGACGACGUCAAGUCAUCAUGGCCCUUACGUCCAGGGCUACACACGUGCUACAAUGGGGUAUACAAAGAGCCGCGAUACCACGAGGUGGAGCAAAUCUCAAAAAUAUCUCCCAGUUCGGAUUGUACUCUGCAACUCGAGUGCAUGAAGUUGGAAUCGCUAGUAAUCGUAGAUCAGCAAUGCUACGGUGAAUACGUUCCCGGGUCUUGUACUCACCGCCCGUCACACCAUGGGAGUUGAACUCAUUCGAAGCGGGGAUGCUAAGAUAGCUACCCUCCACAGUGGAUUCAGCGACUGGGGUGAAGUCGUAACAAGGUACCCG
rnacentral:rRNA from 1 species